AGCGAACGCUGGCGGCAGGCCUAACACAUGCAAGUCGAACGGAUCCUUCGGGAUUAGUGGCGGACGGGUGAGUAACACGUGGGAACGUGCCCUUUGGUUCGGAACAACUCAGGGAAACUUGAGCUAAUACCGGAUGUGCCCUUCGGGGGAAAGAUUUAUCGCCAUUGGAGCGGCCCGCGUCUGAUUAGCUAGUUGGUGAGGUAACGGCCCACCAAGGCGACGAUCAGUAGCUGGUCUGAGAGGAUGAUCAGCCACACUGGGACUGAGACACGGCCCAGACUCCUACGGGAGGCAGCAGUGGGGAAUCUUGCGCAAUGGGAGAAAGCCUGACGCAGCCAUGCCGCGUGAAUGAUGAAGGUCUUAGGAUUGUAAAAUUCUUUCAGCGGGGACGAUAAUGACGGUACCCGCAGAAGAAGCUCCGGCUAACUUCGUG
rnacentral:rRNA from 1 species